UACGUAGGCAGCAAGCGUUGUUCGGAAUUACUGGGCGUAAAGCGUGCGUAGGCGGUUGGCUAAGUUUGGUGUGAAAUCUCCCGGCUCAACUGGGAGGGUGCGCCGAAAACUGGCCGGCUAGAGUGCGGGAGAGGGAAGUGGAAUUCCUGGUGUAGCGGUGAAAUGCGUAGAUAUCAGGAGGAACACCGGUGGUGUAGACGGCUUCCUGGACCGUGACUGACGCUGAGGCACGAAAGCGUGGGGAG
rnacentral:rRNA from 1 species